rnacentral:misc_RNA from 1 species
UCGCCAUUCUGGCUGGUGAAGAUGAAGUGAAAGGAACUGUUCCUCUUAUGUUGCCAUCUUUCCAAAGCCAUCUACUGCAAUGAUUUUGCAGUCAGUUCUGAGAUUUGAAAUGUGAUAUACAUUAAGGUGGCUAGCCAUGAAAGUGCAUCUCCAGUGUUCUUUCGUGGUGUCAUUCUGGCUCAACCUGUUUUCGUGGUGGACGAGACCAGACACAGAACAGCUUUGUCACAAAACACAGAUAAUCUGCUGACUUCUAUAAUGUCUUUUGCUGGUUAUUAUUUCUUGAAAGAACAAUGACAUAUGUUGAAGGAUUUUG